rnacentral:rRNA from 1 species
AAUCAACGCUGGCGGCGCGCUUAACACAUGCAAGUCGCACGAGAAAGGGAGCAAUCCUGAGUAAAGUGGCGUACGGGUGAGUAACACGUGGGAAUCUACCUCUUGGCGGGGAAUAACCCUGGGAAACCGGGGCUAAUACCGCAUAAGCUCGUGAGAGGAAAGCAGCAAUGCACCGAGAGAGGAGCCCGCGGCCGAUUAGCUAGUUGGUGGGGUAAUGGCUCACCAAGGCGAAGAUCGGUGGCCGGCCGGGGGGGGCACACGGCCACACUGGCAAUGAAGCACGGACCAGACUCCUACGGGGGGCAGCAGUGGAGAGUCUUGCACGAGGGGGGAAACCCUGAUGCAGCGACGCCGCGUGAGCGAUGAAGCCCUUCGGAGUGUAAAGCUCUUUCGACAGGAACGAUAAUGACGGUACCUGGAGAAGAAGCUGCGGCUAACUACGUG